CAGCAGCCGCGGUAAUACGAAGGUCCCGAGCGUUAUUCGGAAUCACUGGGCGUAAAGAGUACGUAGGCGGUUUGGUAAGUCAGAUGUGAAAUCCCAGGGCUCAACCCUGGAACUGCAUCCGAUACUGCCUGACUUGAGUAAUGGAGGGGUAACUGGAAUUCUCGGUGUAGCAGUGAAAUGCGUAGAUAUCGAGAGGAAGACCAACGGCGAAGGCAGGUUACUGGACAUUUACUGACGCUGAGGCUCGAAGGCUAGGGUAGCGAAAGGGAUUAGAUACCCCUGUAGUCCUAGCAGUAAACGGUGCGCGCUUGGUGUAGGAGGACUCGACCCCUUCUGUGCCGGAGCUAACGCGUUAAGCGCGCCGCCUGGGGAGUACGGUCGCAAGACUAAAACUCAAAGAAAUUGACGGGGACCCGCACAAGCGGUGGAGUAUGUGGCUUAAUUCGAUGCAACGCGAAGAACCUUACCAAGGCUUGACAUGUAUUGCUAAGCACGUGAAAGCGUGUGACCCUUCGGGGACCUUACACAGGUGCUGCAUGGCCGUCGUCAGCUCGUGUCGUGAGAUGUUUGGUUAAGUCCAGCAACGAGCGCAACCCCUGUGAAUAGUUGCCAGCACGUAAUGGUGGGGACUCUAUUCAGACUGCCCAGGUCAACUGGGAGGAAGGUGGGGAUGACGUCAGGUCAGUAUGGCCCUUACGCCUUGGGCUGCACACGUACUACAAUGCCCAGUACAAUGAGAACCGAUACCGCGAGGUGGAGGAAAUCUGCAAAACUGGGCCCAGUUCGGAUUGGAGGCUGCAACUCGCCUCCAUGAAGUUGGAAUCGCUAGUAAUGGCACAUCAGCUACGGUGCCGUGAAUACGUUCCCGGGUCUUGUACACACCGCCCGUCACAUCAUGGAAGCCGAUCGCACCCGAAGUAUCUGCGCUAACUAUUUAUAGAAGCAAGGUCCUAAGGUGUAGUUGGUAACUAGGAUGAAGUCGUAACAAGGUAGCCGUA
rnacentral:rRNA from 1 species